AUGUGAGUGAGGUAAGCAGCCCUACGAGCGGACUUCAUGGCAGCCUGCCAAGGUACACCACCAGUGGUGGCGCGAUCGAAGGUGUACUGAACCUCGAAGCCAGCCUCCUUAGCGGCAGCGAUGCACUCUUCAAUGGUGCGAACCUCAGGGAGUGCAUUUCCCUCGGCGAUACCAUCUACAACAUCCACAUGAAUUUUGUUGUUCUUGUCGUACUUCGAAGUGCGCAGCCAUUCGUACGACGAGAAGAG
rnacentral:lncRNA from 1 species